UGCAUACACACUGCAUUGGCAGUAAAAAAAACUUGUCAAUUUAUCAACUUGUCAUUUUUUCAGUUCGAAUAAUUAAAUAAUUUGUUUAUGUAUUCAUUCGUAUAUAGGGGGAUUUUGCCGCUUCUAGUCAGUGAAUGUUUUACAUGGCCGGAAGACCUCGUCCUAGUUCCGGCUUAAUAGACAAAUAAAAAAUGACAAAGUUGAAGCGUCCAAGGUUGAAGUCUUGGAAAAAAACGAUGCCCCGGGCGACUGUCACUUACGGGCUAUGGCGUGCCCUUUAUAUAUAAUUCGCCUUAUUAUGACAUAUAUCAUAAUCUGUAUCACUACAUUGAUUUUAUAUUGUUUUGGUUGCGUAACAAAAAAGAGACCCUGCAACCUUUUCAUUCACCCUUUAGAUAAACGACCAUGAGUUUAAUUAUUA